rnacentral:rRNA from 1 species
GUGCCAGCAGCCGCGGUAACACGUAGGAGCCAAGCGUUAUCCGAAUUCACUGGGCGUAAAGCGCGUGCAGGCGGCACGAUAAGUUGGAUGUGAAAGCUCCUGGCUCAACUGGGAGAGGACGUUCAAUACUGUCGAGCUAGAGGACGGCAGAGGGAGGUGGAAUUCCCGGUGUAGUGGUGAAAUGCGUAGAUAUCGGGAGGAACACCAGUGGCGAAGGCGGCCUUCUGGGCCGUUACUGACGCUCAGACGCGAAAGCUAGGGGAGCGAACGGGAUUAGAAACCCGUGUAGUCC